GACGAACGCUGGCGGCGUGCUUAACACACGCAAGUCGAACGGUGAUGGGUGCUUGCACCUUGAUCAGUGGCGAACGGGUGAGUAACACGUGAGCAACCUGCCCCCGACUCUGGGAUAACCCCGGGAAACCGGAGCUAAUACCGGAUAUGAGGCGCCUAGGCAUCUGGGCGUCUGGAAAGAAUUUCGGUCGGGGAUGGGCUCGCGGCCUAUCAGCUGGUUGGUGGGGUAAUGGCCUACCAAGGCGACGACGGGUAGCCGGCCUGAGAGGGCGACGGGCCACACUGGGACUGAGACACGGCCCAGAGUCCUACGGGAGGCAGCAGUGGGGAAUAUGAACAAUGGGCGCAAGCCUGAUGCAGCGACGCCGCGUGAGGGAUGAAGGCCUUCGGGUUGUAAACCUCUUUCAGCAGGGAAGAAGCGCAAGUGACGGUACCUGCAGAAGAAGCGCCGGCUAACUACGUGCCAGCAGCCGCGGUAACAC
rnacentral:rRNA from 1 species